UACGUAGGACCCAAGCGUUGUCCGGAUUUACUGGGUGUAAAGGGAGCGCAGGCGGAUUAUUAAGUCGAUUGUGAAAUCUUGCGGCUCAACCGCAAAACAGCAGUCGAUACUGAUGAUCUUGAGUGUGGAAGAGAGUGGCGGAAUUCAUGGUGUAGCAGUGAAAUGCGUAGAUAUCAUGAAGAACACCGGUUGCGAAGGCGGCCACUUAGUCCAUUACUGACGCUCAUGCUCGAAAGCGUGGGGAUCAAAC
rnacentral:rRNA from 1 species